rnacentral:rRNA from 1 species
UCCGUAGGUGAACCUGCGGAGGGAUCAUUACAGAGUUAUCUAAACUCCCAAACCCAUGUGAACAUACCUCGCGUUGCCUCGGCAGGUGGCGUCCUACCCCGUGAUACCUACCCUGUAGGACCUACCCGGUAGGCGACCCUGCCGACGGCCCCCGAAACUCUGUUUUUAUAGCAUUGGACUUCUGAAGAGAUAACUAAAUAAGUUAAAACUUUCAACAACGGAUCUCUUGGUUCUGGCAUCGAUGAAGAACGCAGCGAAAUGCGAUAAGUAAUGUGAAUUGCAGAAUUCAGUGAAUCAUCGAAUCUUUGAACGCACAUUGCGCCCACUAGUAUUCUGGUGGGCAUGCCUGUUCGAGCGUCAUUUCAACCCUUAAGCCCCCGUUGCUUAGUGUUGGGAGCCUACUGGAACUCUCCUGUAGCUCCCCAAAGUCAGUGGCGGAGCCGGUUCGCACUCCAGACGUAGUAGCUUUUACACAUCGCCUGUAGCUUGGACCCGGGUCCCUGCCGUAAAACACCCCCCAAUUUUAUAGGUUGACCUCGGAUCAGGUAGGAAUACCCGCUGAACUUAAGCAUAUCAAUAAGCGGAGGA